AUUUAGUAUUUAAUUGUGGAUUUGUAUCACUUAAACACUGAAUGUCAAAGUCUUAUUGGGUAAUUUUCUAACCACAUAAGUACAGAAGUCCUUCAGGUUUCUGGGAUGUUUCACUCAAUCAGCCUCAGGUGUGUAGGGAAUUAAUGUAAUUGAGCCAAAGCAAUCUCAAUCUGGUCUACUUCGCUCUGGUCUUACCUGCCCUUACCUCUCCUGAUCUGGCCUCCCCUUACUUCUCCUAUAAUUCUCAGGUUCCAGCCAUCCAGUCACCAUGAAGAUCCUGUAUCUGGUGUUUUUGAUGCUCUUUGUGAUCUCCUAUGCUGGCACAGGGUAUGGCGGAUUAUUUACAAAUUUCCGAUGUGAUCUGCUUGGGGGUGUUUGUAUAGAAGGAUUUUGUAGAUAUCCUGUUUUGAAACUUGGUACCUGUAAGACAAAAGAAAAGAAGAUGUGUUGUAUAAAAGAAUAUACAAGUGACUGAUGCCACAGGGGAAAAACUGAAGGUUAUAGCCACUGGAGAGUUCUCAGGGAGCAAGAGUAUGUCCAGCACAUUGUGCAAAGGAUAUCUAUCCUCUCUAUAUCUAUUAUAUAUCUAUAAGCUACAGGGCUUAGAGGGGAAAGGAGAAUUUCCUAGACUCAAGACAAAGCUCAAAAAAUAACAAUGUCAGACCUGUGACCAGAGACACUACCCUCUACACCCCAGAACUAAAGGUGAUUAUAAUAACAAGUUGAUAUAAAAAAGACAAAACAAAAAUGACUUAAGGAGAAAGAACCCAACCAUUGACAGUUAUUAUAGGCAUAGAGAAGAUCUGAGGUUUGUCUUCAGAGAAUUCUAAAGCAAAAACAUAAAAAAGUCUCUUCUAUGCCAAAGAAUAACAUCAAAUGAUCAUCUACCCAAAAAGAAUUCAUAGAAGAAUUAAAAAAAAAAAACUAAAAAUCAAAUUAUUGAGGAAAAAUUAAAAAAAAUAAGAAGAACCUCCCCAAAACAAGAUAAUGAAAAGAAAAUCAAUCUAAUGGAAAAGGAAAUCCAAAAUCUCCUUGAAAAUUAGGAAUGGGCAUGGGUAAACUAUAGUGAAGUAGAGUAAAAAAUAAAAUAAAAUAUAAAGAAUGAAAAAAUAGAAGAGAAUGUGAACUAUCUCAUAAGAAACAUAACUGAUCUGGAGAACGAUCAAGAAGAGAAAACAAAGAAUAAUCAAAUUACUUGAAAGCUAUUGUUAAAAAUCAUGAUUAAAAAAUACAAGAAAUAUUUAAACAAAAUUGUCCAGAAGUGUUAGUGGAAGAGUGGAAAAUAGAAAAAGAAGAAAACACACUGAUCACCAUCUGAACGAAAUACUUAGAGGAAAGCCUACAGGAAUAUCAUUGCUAAAUUGCAGUCCUCCCCCCCUCUUCCCCUGAAAAUAUUAUGAGCAGCAAGAAAAAAGAAAAACAAUUCAAAUACUGCAAAGCUACAAAAGACUUCACACUAUAUAUUGAAAAGCAAAAGAAUGUAACUUAUGGCCAAAAAUUAAAGCAAAGUUAUGCAUGAACCUGAACAACCAAAGAAAUAUUCAAGGAUAUUCAAGGAGUUGCCAGGUUUUUAGGAUUUUAUUACCAAAAAACCUGUACUUAAUAGAAAAUUUGACAUACAAGAUCCAAGAGGUAAGGUAAAUGGCAAAGACGAAAUACAAGGGAUUCAAUAAAGACAAGUGAUUUAUUUUUUAUACAUGGGAAGGUAAACCUUAUUUAUAUUGGUAAUUGGGUAAUGCAAAGGAAAGAUUGGGAGUAGAGCUGAGUAUAAUAUGAUUUGAAAAAGCAAAACCAUAUAGGAAAAGGUAAAAAGAGUGAUUAUCUCAUACAAAUGAAGUGCAAGAGGAAGAACUGAUUAUAGAUAGCUAUGUACAGUAUGUGUAUAUGUAUAUGUGUGUGUGUGUAUUUAAUUAUAUUUAUGUAUUUAUAAAAUAUAUCCAUGCUUAACUGUAGUCUUCCUGGGGAAAAGGGUGGUGGGGAAGGGAGGGGAAAGUAAAGUUAAAAAAAAAAAAAGCACAGCAGAGAGCCAGAGAAAAUCUACAAGGAAGCAAAGAUGGACAGUUCUGAGUGAAGGGAGCCCUGAAACUCUCUAAAACCCCAAGGACAAAUUGUCCUUGAAUCCUGGAUUCUGUAAAAGAUCCUGAAAGAUGGCCAUCACUCCCCAUUGAUAACACUCACUACUAAUUAAGCUUCCUAUUGAAUUAAAGAGACUCAUUCAAUUCGAUUCAAAUUUAGCUCAAGCUGUACUCAGCCCUAUCAAGAACCGCCCUCAGCUUGUAGCUAAAAGCUUCUAUUAUAAAAGAGCCAGUCUUAAACCUUCUCCUUGCAGAGGACCUAAUAUGCCCAGGAAUCUCUUUUCCUGGCAUAGCAAGCCUCUGCCCAUUGGGAUGAUACUCUCUUUCAGCGUUAUCCUCUCUUUAUCCUCACCUAUUUUCCUAAUGAGACUUUAUAUCUCUCUAUUGGGAUUUCUUUAUUAGAAACUUUAAUUCCCUGCUGGGACCUUGCUACUAAGAAAUUCAGUCUUUCUAUUCAUGCAUAGCAAAGGCUGAUUUCCUAAUGCCAACAAUAAACUUCUUUUUAUCAGUC
rnacentral:lncRNA from 1 species